rnacentral:rRNA from 1 species
AUUGAACGCUGGCGGCAGGCUUAACACAUGCAAGUCGAGCGGGGUGAUGGUGCUUGCACUAUCACUUAGCGGCGGACGGGUGAGUAAUGCUUAGGAAUCUGCCUAUUAGUGGGGGACAACAUCUCGAAAGGGAUGCUAAUACCGCAUACGUCCUACGGGAGAAAGCAGGGGAUCACUUGUGACCUUGCGCUAAUAGAUGAGCCUAAGUCGGAUUAGCUAGUUGGUGGGGUAAAGGCCUACCAAGGCGACGAUCUGUAGCGGGUCUGAGAGGAUGAUCCGCCACACUGGGACUGGGACACGGCCCAGACUCCUACGGGGGGUAGCAGUGGGGAAUAUUGGACAAUGGGGGGAACCCUGAUCCAGCCAUGCCGCGUGUGUGAAGAAGGCCUUAUGGUUGUAAAGCACUUUAAGCGAGGAGGAGGCUCUUUUGGUUAAUACCCAAGAUGAGUGGACGUUACUCGCAGAAUAAGCACCGGCUAACUCUGUGCCAGCCGCCGCAGUAA